rnacentral:rRNA from 1 species
GCGCACGGGUGCGUAACGCGUGGGAACCUGCCUUUAGGUUCGGAAUAACAGUUAGAAAUGACUGCUAAUACCGGAUAAUGUCUUCGGACCAAAGAUUUAUUGCCUUUAGAUGGGCCCGCGUUGGAUUAGAUAGUUGGUGGGGUAAUGGCCUACCAAGUCGACGAUCCAUAGCUGGUCUGAGAGGAUGAUCAGCCACACUGGGACUGAGACACGGCCCAGACUCCUACGGGAGGCAGCAGUGGGGAAUAUUGGACAAUGGGCGAAAGCCUGAUCCAGCAAUGCCGCGUGAGUGAUGAAGGCCUUAGGGUUGUAAAGCUCUUUUACCAGGGAUGAUAAUGACAGUACCUGGAGAAUAAGCUCCGGCUAACUCCGUGCCAGCAGCCGCGGUAAUACGGAGGGAGCUAGCGUUGUUCGGAAUUACUGGGCGUAAAGCGCACGUAGGCGGCUUUUCAAGUCAGGGGUGAAAUCCCGGGGCUCAACCCCGGAACUGCCCUUGAAAC